UGGGGGAGCGAGCUUGCUCGCGAUGGCGGCAUGGCAGUCACUUUGAUGCUAUCUGUCACAAGGCUAUCGCGAGCAAGCUCGCUCCCACA
rnacentral:misc_RNA from 1 species